rnacentral:snoRNA from 1 species
ACCUUCCAGUGUCUUUACCCACUGGAUCUAAACCCUGAUCUGGGCGGUUAUAAGUUGAGGAAAAGUAAAAUGGAAACCAAAAUGGACUUCAAUGCGUUUGUGGCACCUGAGCUAGUUUCAAACAUUA